AUAUGUUGCCGCUGAGGAGGCUCCUGGGUGGUUUCAAGAUUUAGCUUCACCCGUGAACCGCUGCCAUGGCCGAGGAAAGCACUGCUGUUGGAGGUAUAAUGGACGUUAACACUGCUCUACAAGAAGUGCUGAAGACUGCACUCAUCCACGAUGGCUUAGCUUGUGGAAUUCGUGAAGGUGCCAAAGCCUUGGACAAACGCCAAGCCCAUCUUUGUGUUCUUGCUUCCAACUGUGAUGAACCUAUGUAUGUAAAGUUGGUCAAGGCUCUGUGUGCUGAACACCAAAUCAACUUGAUCAAGGUUGAUGACGACAAGAAGCUGGGUGAAUGGGUAGGCCUCUGUAAAAUUGACAGAGAGGGAAAACCCCGUAAAGUGGUUGGCUGCAGUUGAGUGGUUGUUAAGGACUAUG